rnacentral:rRNA from 1 species
ACCGGCGAACGGGUGCGUAACACGUGAGCGACCUGCCCAAGUGUGGGGGAUAGCCGGCCCAACGGCCGGGUAAUACCGCAUACGCUUCCUUUGGGGCACACCUAGGGAAGGAAACCUUCGGGGCACAUGGAGGGGCUCGCGGCCUAUCAGCUAGUUGGUGAGGUAAUGGCUCACCAAGGCUUCGACGGGUAGCCGGUCUGAGAGGGUGACCGGCCACACUGGGACUGAGACACGGCCCAG